GUGACCUACGGGACGCAGCAGUGAGGAAUAUUGGUCAAUGGCCGAAGGGCUGAACCAGCCAAGCCGCGUGAAGGAAUAAGGCCCUACGGGUCGUAAACUUCUUUAGCCAGGGAACAAAGGGAGCCACGCGUGGCGCUGUGAGUGUACCUGAAGAAUAAGCAUCGGCUAGCUCCGUGCCAGCAGCCGCGGUAAUACGGAGGAUGCGAGCGUUAUCCGGAUUUAUUGGGUUUAAAGGGUGCGUAGGCGGUUUGUCAAGUCAGUG
rnacentral:rRNA from 1 species